GUGUCAGCCGCCGCGGUAAUACGGAGGGUCCGAGCGUUAUCCGGAUUUAUUGGGUUUAAAGGGUGCGUAGGCGGCUUCAUAAGUCAGUGGUGAAAUUCGGCAGCUCAACUGUCGGCGUGCCUUUGAUACUGUGGAGCUUGAAUUUGGUCGAAGGAGGCGGAAUGGGACAAGUAGCGGUGAAAUGCAUAGAUAUGUCCCGGAACCCCAAUUGCGAAGGCAGCUUCCUAGGUCAUUAUUGACGCUGAUGCACGAAAGCGUGGGGAUCGAACAGGAUUAGAUACCCCCGUAGUCC
rnacentral:rRNA from 1 species